AACGAACGCUGGCGGCAGGCCUAACACAUGCAAGUCGAGCGCGCCCUUCGGGGUGAGCGGCGGACGGGUGAGUAACGCGUGGGAACGUGCCCUUUUCUACGGAAUAGCCUCGGGAAACUGAGAGUAAUACCGUAUACGCCCUUUGGGGGAAAGAUUUAUCGGAAAAGGAUCGGCCCGCGUUGGAUUAGGUAGUUGGUGGGGUAAUGGCCUACCAAGCCGACGAUCCAUAGCUGGUUUGAGAGGAUGAUCAGCCACACUGGGACUGAGACACGGCCCAGACUCCGACGGGAGGCAGCAGUGGGGAAUCUUAGACAAUGGGGGCAACCCUGAUCUAGCCAUGCCGCGUGAGUGAUGAAGGCCUUAGGGUUGUAAAGCUCUUUCAGCUGGGAAGAUAAUGACGGUACCAGCAGAAGAAGCCCCGGCUAACUACGUG
rnacentral:rRNA from 1 species